rnacentral:tRNA from 1 species
GCGGGUGUAGCCAAGUGGUUAAGGCAUCGGAUUGUGGUUCCGACACUCGCGGGUUCGAGUCCCGUCAUCCGCC